rnacentral:rRNA from 1 species
AAACUGGGGGACUUGAGUACUGGAGAGGAGAGUGGAAAUUCCAUGUGUAGCGGUGAAAUGCGUAGAUAUAUGGAGGAACACCAGUGGCGAAGGCGGCUCUCUGGCCAGUAACUGACGCUGAGGCGCGAAAGCGUGGGGAGCAGACAGGAUUAGAUACCCUGGUAGUCCACGCCGUAAACGAUGAGUGCUAGGUGUUGGGGGGUUCCACCCUCAGUGCUGACGUUAACACUUUAAGCACUCCGCCUGGGGAGUACGACCGCAAGGUUGAAACUCAAAGGAAUUAACGGGGGCCCGCACAAGCAGUGGAGCAUGUGGUUUAAUACGAAGCAACGCGAAGAACCUUACCAGGUCUUGACAUCCUUCGCUACUUCCAGAGAUGGAAGGUUCCCCUUCGGGGGACGAAGUGACAGGUGGUGCAUGGUUGUCGUCAGCUCGUGUCGUGAGAUGUUGGGUUAAGUCCCGCAACGAGCGCAACCCUUGAUCUUAGUUGCCAGCAUUCAGUUGGGCACUCUAAGGUGACUGCCGGUGACAAACCGGAGGAAGGUGGGGACGACGUCAAAUCAUCAUGCCCCUUAUGACCUGGGCUACACACGUGCUACAAUGGAUGGUACAAAGGGCAGCAAAACCGCGAGGUUGAGCGAGUCCCAUAAAGCCAUUCUCAGUUCGGAUUGCAGGCUGCAACUCGCCUGCAUGAAGCCGGAAUUGCUAGUAAUCGCGGAUCAGCAUGCCGCGGUGAAUACGUUCCC